rnacentral:rRNA from 1 species
UACGUAGGGGGGCAAGCGUUGUCCGGAUUUAUUGGGCGUAAAGAGCGUGUAGGCGGCUUUACAGGUCCGUUGUGAAAACUCGAGGCUCAACCUCGAGACGCCGGUGGAAACCGUAAAGCUAGAGUCCGGAAGAGGAGAGUGGAAUUCCUGGUGUAGCGGUGAAAUGCGCAGAUAUCAGGAGGAACACCAAUUGCGAAGGCAGCUCGCUGGGACGUUACUGACGCUGAGACGCGAAAAGCGUGGGGAGCAAACAGG